rfam:Triticum aestivum genome assembly, contig: Triticum_aestivum_CS42_TGACv1_scaffold_435648_5DL
AUGGUACUCCCUCCGUCCCAAAAUAAGUGUCUCAACUUUGUACUAACUUUAGUGUAAAGUUGUACUAAGGUUGAGACACUUAUUUUGGGACGGAGGGAGUAUAUG